AGGGUUCGAUUCUGGCUCAGGAUGAACGCUGGCGGCGUGCCUAAUACAUGCAAGUCGAACGAAGCACCUCGGUGCUUAGUGGCGAACGGGUGAGUAACACGUGGGUAACCUGCCCUCAAGACGAGGAUAACCGUUGGAAACGAUGGCUAAGACUGGAUAGGAAUACGGGGGGCAUCUUCUGUAUUUUAAAAGACCUGGCAACAGGUAUGCUUGAGGAGGGGCCUGCGGCGCAUUAGUUAGUUGGUGAGGUGAUGGCUCACCAAGACGAUGAUGCGUAGCCGGACUGAGAGGUUGAACGGCCACAUUGGGACUGAGAGACGGCCCAAACUCCUACGGGAGGCAGCAGUAGGGAAUUUUCGGCAAUGGGGGAAACCCUGACCGAAGCAACGCCGCGUGAACGACGAAGUACUUCGGUAUGUAAAGUUCUUUUAAGAGGGAAGAAUGGCCCGUGGAAAAGCGGGCGUGACGGUACCUUUUGAAUAAGCCCCGGCUAACUAUGUGCCAGCCGCUGC
rnacentral:rRNA from 1 species